CAGCAGCCACGGUAAUACGGAGGGGGCUAGCGUUGUUCGGAAUUACUGGGCGUAAAGCGUACGUAGGCGGCUUUGUAAGUUAGAGGUGAAAGCCUGGUGCUCAACACCAGAACUGCCUUUAAGACUGCAUCGCUUGAACGUCGGAGAGGUGAGUGGAAUUCCGAGUGUAGAGGUGAAAUUCGUAGAUAUUCGGAAGAACACCAGUGGCGAAGGCGGCUCACUGGACGACUGUUGACGCUGAGGUACGAAAGCGUGGGGAGCAAACAGGAUUAGAUACCCCGGUAGUCCCUGUCUCUUAUAA
rnacentral:rRNA from 1 species